AGAAGGGCUAGGCAAAUGAGGUUAAAGGACUUCCCAAGGGUUACACAGGAUCUGAGGAUAGAUUUGAACUCAGAACCUCCUGACUCUAGGUCUGAUGCUCUAUCCACUAUUCCACUUAGUUGCCUGUUACAAGUAAUUUUUUAAACCUAAAUAGAAGACUAUAAAUUUUGUCUAUUAAUUAUCACCGUGUUAUAUUGAUCUCAGUGUAUAAUUUUGUCAAGAUCUUUUUGGAUGCUAAAUGUGUCAUCUAGAGUGUUGGAUGUCCAUCCUCUCUUUGUAUCUUGUGCACAUAUGAUGAGCAUGUUAAAUAUACCUUUAUCUAAGAGGGUAGAUCAUUCCUUCUCCCUGUAAGAGUAAGAGAGGUAACCACUCAUGUGAUACUCCUUAGGUGCACAUUUGUCCAAAAUCCUCGACAGGGACUGGGAUAAAAGAGAAAUAAGGUCGAUCCUUAGAACGGUACUUGGUACAUAUUAGAAUCAUAAUAAAUGUUGAUAGAUUGAUUGAAUAUUUGAUUUUUGUCCUCAAACAUUUCAACUUGGGAAACUUGCUUGCGUGAACAAGUAAAGAACUACUUAAACUUGCUGCAAAUACAGAACAAGUACUGACCUUUAAAAGGAGAUAUAGGUGAGGUCUAAAUCCUCUGAAUCACCCAAAGAAAAGGACUACCUAAAUUAAAGAUUGUAGAAGCUGGCUGCUGGAGAGGAAAGAGCAGGGUCUGUGGAAGAGAAACAAAGAGAGAGAGGAUCUGCAGAACAAGCCUGCAUGCAGACUAAGGUAAUUAUCUGUCUGUCAAUCAAGGAGAAGUUUCCAAAUGGAAUGUUCCGAGGAGAAGGCAGUUGAGCAGACCAAGGGGAGGAACUGAUUCUGUCUCUCUCUCUGGGGUGACUGACCAGGAGACUUUGGCUCUCUGGGUUUUUCUGACAAAGGUCCCAGGAGAAAGGACAUUUGGGCCCUACUGUAAGCAAGUAACUUCAGGUCUAGCAUUCUGGAAUUUCCAUCUUGUAGUAGUUCAACUGAGCCCCCAAUUUACUAAGCUCUAAUGUAUGAUGGUAAAUGAUCACUACUAUUUUUAUGUUUAUUUUCAAUCUAUUUGAUUCUGUUCUAGUGUUACUCCUGCUGGUUGCCCUUUUCUGUUCUCCGGUUUUUUAAUUAAUGUGGCUUAAUUGUACUUGGCCCCCUGAGGCUGUUUAAAGGAUGAAGGCAAUCUAAGAAAUUUAGUAAGUACCCUAAUUUGGCACUCUCAUGCUUUCCGGUUCCUCAUACCAUGCAGCAGAUCCCAUCAUUUUCUAGAUAGUGCAGAGGAAACUUUUUGGAAGAUAAGGAAAUCCUAGCAAAUAAUUACUAUUAUUCUCCCCCCACCCCGCUGCCACCCAGGUAAUAUUGCCUAUCCUCUUUUUAACUCGAGGGAGAGUCCAAUAUGAGAUUUAAUCAAUUUGUUGUUUUGUUUCAUUUACACACCUUCAAUUCAAUUCAUGUGUGGAAAUAUAAAGAUGAGAAUAUAAUAAAGCCUACUUUCAAGGAGCUUAUAUUUUAGUA
rnacentral:lncRNA from 1 species